CCUACGGUGUGCAGCAGUGGGGAAUAUUGGGCAAUGGGCGCAAGCCUGACCCAGCAACGCCGCGUGAAGGAAGAAGGCCCUCGGGUUGUAAACUUCUUUUAACAGGGACGAAGAAAGUGACGGUACCUGUUGAAUAAGCCACGGCUAACUACGUGCCAGCAGCCGCGGUAAUACGGGGGAUGCAAGCGUUAUCCGGAUUUAUUGGGUUUAAAGGGUGCGUAGGCUGUGAGGUAAGUCAGCGGUGAAAUGCACCGCUCAACGUGGUGAAGUGCCAUUGAUACUGCCUUGCUGGAAUGCGGAUGCCGUGGGAGGAAUGUGUGGUGUAGCGGUGAAAGGCAUAGAUAUCACACAGAACACCGAUUGCGAAGGCAUCUCACGAAUCCGCGAUUGACGCUGAUGCACGAAAGCGUGGGUAUCAAACAGGAUUAGAUACCCGGGUAGUC
rnacentral:rRNA from 1 species